rnacentral:rRNA from 1 species
UACAGAGGGUGCGAGCGUUGUUCGGAAUUACGUGGGCGUAAAGCGCACGUAGGCGGAUAUUUAAGUCAGGGGUGAAAUCCCGGGGCUCAACCCCGGAACUGCCUUUGAUACUGGGUAUCUCGAGUCCGAGAGAGGUGAGUGGAAUUCCGAGUGUAGAGGUGAAAUUCGUAGAUAUUAGGAAGAACACCGGUGGCGAAGGCGGCUCUCUGGGCCUGCACUGACGCUCAUGCACGAAAGCGUGGGGAGCAAACAGG